rnacentral:rRNA from 1 species
CCUACGGGUGGCUGCAGUCGAGAAUCAUUCACAAUGGGGGAAACCCUGAUGGUGCGACGCCGCGUGGGGGAAUGAAGGUCUUCGGAUUGUAAACCCCUGUCAUGUGGAAGCAAAUUAAAAAGAUAGUACCACAAGAGGAAGAGACGGCUAACUCUGUGCCAGCAGCCGCGGUAAUACAGAGGUCUCAAGCGUUGUUCGGAAUCACUGGGCGUAAAGCGUGCGUAGGCUGUUUCGUAAGUCGUGUGUGAAAGGCGCGGGCUCAACCCGCGGACGGCACAUGAUACUGCGAGACUAGAGUAAGGGAGGGGGAACCGGAAUUCUCGGUGUAGCAGGGAAAUGCGUAGAUAUCGAGAGGAACACUCGUGGCGAAGGCGGGUUCCUGGACAGUAACUGACGCUGAGGCACGAAGGCCAGGGGAGCGAAAGGGAUUAGAUACCCCAGUAGUC